UGUAGGCAGUCUUGCAGGAACUCCUUUGCAUCAUGUUGCAAAAAGAGGCCAUGAUGGUACUGUUAUUCUACUUCUUUCUCAUGGAGCAAAUCCUUUAGUGAUGAAUUAUGAUUGCCAAACCCCUCUUGAUUUGGCCAGAGCCAAAGGAAAUUCCAAUGUUGUCCGUGCUAUUCAGAAUCGUAUAUGUUUAUUUGUUGGUUGGCUAAGGGAGAUUCAUGGGCCAAGCAUUUUGGAAGCUUUUUCUCCUCAAUAUGUGUCAAAGAAAACGCCAUCAUGCAGGAACUCCUUUGCAUCAUGCUGCAAAAAAUGGCCUUGAUGGUACUAUUAUUCUACUCCUUUCUCAUGGAGCAAAUCCUUUAGUGAUGAAUGAUGAUUGCCAAAUCCCUCUUGAUUUGGCCAGAGCCAAAGGGCAUUCCAAUGUUAUGCGUGCUAUUGAGAAUUGUAUCUAUUUAUUUGUUGGUUAGCUAAGGGAGAUUCAUGGGCUAAGCAUUUUGGAAGCUUUUGCUUCUCAAUGGGAGUCAAAGAAAAUUUGGGCUGUUGCUAUACCCUGUGAUUCUCGUAAUCCCACAAAUCCAAGGAAGUAUAAGCUG